rnacentral:lncRNA from 1 species
AAAAUGCCUAGUAAUGAAGGAUUUGAUAUCCUGAAUUUCAAUGUUAAAAUUGAUACUUCCUGGCUUUUCCAGGAAUUAGAAGAUGCAAGCACACCCAAUGAACAAGCAAACAGUGCUGGAGAAGAGAAUUUGAACCUCAGAAUAAAAGAGCCAGAAAAGUCACAGCGAAAACUGAAAGGUGUUCUAGAGGAUUAUGUGGAGUCAGAUUCUGUCCUAAGAAACAGGAUGAAAGAGCUGGAGCUGUCACACAAAACACUUCUUGUGACAAUUGAUCAACUAAAUGUGAAGUUGCACCAGGUUGAAAAUGCAAAUGUGCGUGUUAAAGGGAAACUGCGAGACAUUCAGGAGGACCUGAUCAACUUGGUUGAAAACCGAGAAAAGUCAGAGAAAAAGCAAAAGGAAAAAUUACGUUGGCUUCAGGAGCAGCUGAAGACAAAAGAAGAUGAAAUAAAAAGCCAGUUGGAGUAUUUUGAACACUACAAACAAAGGCAGAGACAACAGACAGCAGUGCUGAGAGAAAGGGAAUGUUAUCUUCGGGGUGAGGUAUCUAGGUUGGAAAAGCAAGUCCUAGAUCUUAGUGCCCAUAUUGCUCUUUUGACAUCUGAAUUAGAAGAGGGGAUGGUGCAGUAUCUCCAGCAGAAGCUGGAAUCAACAUUCAGUGGGCCUCAGGGAUGUAAAGACUCUGAUGUGGAAGUGAUGGAAUUGAAAACUUGCAUUAAUAAUGUGGAGCAUGACAUGAAAAGCCACCUUGAGACACUUCAGCAAAAUAUGAAGCUCUUGAGGGAAAAAGAGGAGGACAACAUAAGAGGUCAGGCAGACCUGCUGACUGAACUCCAGCGCUCUCAGGACACUGAAGACUUUCUCAGAAGAAAAUUGGAAGAAUCUUGCCAUCGUGUUUAUAGUCUGAAAUUAUCUGAAGCCAAACUACAGGAAAAAAUAGAGGAGCUUUUGGAUGAAAAUAGGGCUUUAAAAGAUCAAGGUAGAGUGACGUUGAGGAAGAAAGAAAAGGACUCACAACCUACAAGAUUGGAGAAUGGAGAUGACAGCAUUAACCUGGUAAGUAAAAAUAAGGCAAAAUAUAAUUUGCUUUUAUAUCACCUUGGAUUACACUUGUCAUUAGAUGUACAAUCAAGAUGUGAGGCUUUU